rnacentral:rRNA from 1 species
AGAGUUUGAUCAUGGCUCAGGAUGAACGCUAGCUACAGGCUUAACACAUGCAAGUCGAGGGGCAGCGAGGGAGUGGCAACACUUCUGUCGGCGACCGGCGCACGGGUGAGUAACGCGUAUGCAACCUGCCCUUCACAGGGGGAUAACCGGGAGAAAUUCCGACUAAUACCGCAUACGUCCCCUGGGGGCAUCCCCUGGGGAUGAAAGAAUUAUCGGUGAAGGAUGGGCAUGCGUGAUAUUAGGUAGUUGGCGGGGCAACGGCCCACCAAGCCCACGAUAUCUAGGGGUUCUGAGAGGAGGGUCCCCCACAUUGGUACUGAGACACGGACCAAACUCCUACGGGAGGCA